rnacentral:rRNA from 1 species
UACGUAGGGUGCAAGCGUUAAUCGGAAUUACUGGGCGUAAAGCGUGCGCAGGCGGUUGUGCAAGACAGAUGUGAAAUCCCCCGGGCUUAACCUGGGAACUGCAUUUGUGACUGCACGGCUAGAGUGUGUCAGAGGGGGGUAGAAUUCCACGUGUGAGCAGUGAAAUGCGUAGAUAUGAUGGAGGAAUACCGAUGGCGAAGGCAGCCCCCCUGGGAUAACACUGACGCUGGAGGAGCGAAAGCAUGGGGGAGCGAACAGGA